UACGUAGGGUGCGAGCGUUAAUCGGAAUUACUGGGCGUAAAGCGUGCGCAGGCGGCGGCUCAAGUCAGGUGUGAAAUCCCCGGGCUUAACCUGGGAAUUGCGCUUGAAACUAGGUCGCUAGAGUGUGGCAGAGGGGGGUGGAAUUCCGCGUGUAGCAGUGAAAUGCGUAGAGAUGCGGAGGAACACCGAUGGCGAAGGCAGCCCCCCUGGGCUGACACUGACGCUCAGGCACGAAAGCGUGGGGAGCAAACAGGG
rnacentral:rRNA from 1 species